CCACACAGACAACUCUGUCGCUGCGCAUCUACCCUGCGCACACGCACUUCAACAAGCCCUCUUUCUCUCUCUGUGCGUGCGUAGCGUCGCUGUCACGUCUAGCGAUGAGCACAGCUGGCGCGGAACGUUUCGCCUAGAGAGCAUCCGGCCAGGGAGGACCGCGGGUGCUGCCUGCGAUGUACAACCCCACCCCCUGCCGGGGCAGAACACCGACAGCAGACUCGAACACGCAGGGACUAAGGGACAACCCCGCCACACUGCGGCGCACGCGUAGUGUGGGUGUGCGAGCGAAAGGCGAGUAGUUGCGCAUCUCGUUUCUCCUCUUCGACCUCCUUCCCCUUCUGUCGCACCGCUGCCCAGCGAGAUCAGCACCCACCCCGCUGAUAAAGCCGUUGCGUGGCGUGGUGAGAGAUGGAAGGGGAGGGUCUGCCGCCGGAGAGUCGAUCCGUUACUUCUUGACGUUGGCGCCACGCAUAUGCCCAUUUCCCUGUCUUUCUUCAAUGCGUUUUCCGCCACACUUCAGUCACGCGAUGAUGAUGAGGAGCACCUCCGCGCGCGGUGCCACAAUGUUCAGUGGCCCCACCCUGUGUGGCUAAGCCAGGGCGAUGCACCGCUACUUGUGCCCAGCGGUUAGACCCUGGACGGCGUGGCGUCGGAGCGACCUGCGACGGUGAACACGCCCGUGCCAUCCAUGCGAUAGGCCGCGUGCCAGCGCGACUCGGACGCAUGUCACCCUCGGCCUUCGCACCGCCUACUGGUGCGGGGAGAGCCCGCGUGUCACACCCCGAGGGGGUUGGGAGGGUGGGGAAUGCGCCAGGGGUGGCGACCCGCGAGGCGGGGGCUUGCGAGCAGGUAGCGUGUGAGGCCCAGGCCCUGCUCAGGUAACUGAGUCGGCGCGGUGCUGCAACUCGCGUGUGUGUGCGGCCGCUUCGCACGACGCGGAUGGUGGGGGGCCCGUGACGGGCUCUUGUGGUGGAGCGGCGCUCCGCUCAUGCUGUAGGGCAGCGCAGAUACGUGUGGAAAUCAAACAUGACUCUCCCUCUCCUUCGCGCUGCUGAGGUCUUUUUUGCCUCUUGUAGGGGCUCUCAGCUGUUUCACAGGCCGGCCUCCGGCCGCGACAUGCGGGCACAUGCAUGCGCCUAUCGGGUAUGGCGGCUCCCUGUGCCUCCCUCUGCUGUCGGGGAGGAUGCGAACUAGUUUGACUUCCUUGUCUUUCCGCACAAAUCAUGUCCCGCUCGAGUGCCCCCCCCCCCCCCCCCCCCCCCACCCCACCCCCGAUCCUGUACGUCGUCGGGUGAGGCGUGAAGGACGAGAGAUUCGGGGUUUCACACUGCACCUCCGCAGAAGCUAUCAGAGAGAGGAAAAGCAAUACCGGAAAGCGCGGAAGGCAGAGGCCUGCGCCCUCUACCUGGCUACAUCCAGCGCGUCUGCGUGUGCUUGUGUGUGAUGAUGGCCCACAGGAAGUCAGAGCACGGGACGGGACACCUCAAGCCAGUAAUCGUCUUCUCCUCAUUCCACCUCUCUGUUCUCACACCUGCAG
rnacentral:misc_RNA from 1 species